CGUGUAGGCGGUGAAAUAAGUCGGAUGUGAAAUCCCACGGCUUAACCGUGGAAGUGCAUUCGAAACUGUUUCGCUAGAGUACGAGAGGGGAAGGUGGAAUUCCCAGUGUAGAGGUGAAAUUCGUAGAUAUUGGGAGGAACACCGGUGGCGAAGGCGGCCUUCUGGCUCGAUACUGACGCUGAGACGCGAAAGCGUGGGGAGCAAACA
rnacentral:rRNA from 1 species